rnacentral:rRNA from 1 species
AAAGGUAAGCUACUAAGAGCGAAUGGUGGAUGCCUUGACUGGUAAAGGCGAUGAAGGACGUACUAGACUGCGAUAAGCUACGGGGAGCUGUCAAGAAGCUUUGAUCCGUAGAUUUCCGAAUGGGGCAACCCAAUGUAUAGAGAUAUACAUUACCUAUAUAGGAGCGAACGAGGGGAAUUGAAACAUCUUAGUACCCUCAGGAAAAGAAAUCAAUAGAGAUUGCGUCAGUAGCGGCGAGCGAAAGCGCAAGAGGGCAAACCCAGUGCUUGCACUGGGGGUUGUAGGACUGCAAUGUGCAAGAGGUAAGUUUAGCAGAACAUUCUGGAAAGUAUAACCAUAGAGGGUGAUAGUCCCGUAUGCGAAAAACAAACCUUAGCUAGCAGUAUCCUGAGUAGGGCGGGACACGAGGAAUCCUGUCUGAAUCCGGGUCGACCACGAUCCAACCCUAAAUACUAAUACCAGAUCGAUAGUGCACAAGUACCGUGAGGGAAAGGUGAAAAGAACUGAGGUGAUCAGAGUGAAAUAGAACCUGAAACCAUUUGCUUACAAUCAUUCAGAGCCCUAUGUAGCAAUACAGGGUGAUGGACUGCCUUUUGCAUAAUGAGCCUGCGAGUUGUGGUGUCUGGCAAGGUUAAGCAAACGCGAAGCCGUAGCGAAAGCGAGUCUGAAUAGGGCGCUUAGUCAGAUGCUGCAGACCCGAAACGAAGUGAUCUAUCCAUGAGCAAGUUGAAGCUAGUGUAAGAACUAGUGGAGGACUGAACCCAUAGGCGUUGAAAAGCCCCGGGAUGA